rnacentral:tRNA from 1 species
GCCUGGGUGGCUCAGUCGGUUGAGCGUCCGACUUCGGCUCAGGUCAUGAUCUCACGGUUCGUGGGUUCGAGCCCCGUGUCAGGCU